rnacentral:rRNA from 1 species
GUAGGUGGCAAGCGUUGUCCGGAAUUAUUGGGGCGUAAAGCGCGCGCAGGCGGUUCGUUUAAGUCUGAUGUGAGGGCCCACGGCUCAACCGUGGAGGGUCAUUGGAAACUGGAGAACUUGAGUACAGAAGAGGAAAGCGGAAUUCCACGUGUAGCGGUGAAAUGCGUAGAGAUGUGGAGGAACACCAGUGGCGAAGGCGGCUUUCUGGUCUGUAACUGACGCUGAGGCGCGAAAGCGUGGGGAGCAAACAGGAUUAGAUACCCUGGUAGUCCACGCCGUAAACGAUGAGUGCUAAGUGUUAGGGGGUUUCCGCCCCUUAGUGCUGCAGCUAACGCAUUAAGCACUCCGCCUGGGGAGUACGGCCGCAAAGGCUG